UACGAAGGGGGCUAGCGUUGCUCGGAAUUACUGGGCGUAAAGCGCACGUAGGCGGCGCCGUAAGUCAGGGGUGAAAUCCCGGAGCUCAACUCCGGAACUGCCCUUGAAACUGCAGUGCUAGAAUCUUGGAGAGGCGAGUGGAAUUCCGAGUGUAGAGGUGAAAUUCGUAGAUAUUCGGAAGAACACCAGUGGCGAAGGCGACUCGCUGGACAAGUAUUGACGCUGAGGUGCGAAAGCGUGGGGAGCAAACAGG
rnacentral:rRNA from 1 species